CCUGACUGCAUUUAACCUGCAGCCCACAAGUAGGACAGGGUGCAGGACAGCCACCUCCCCCUGGCAUAGCUCUUCACCUGGGGGUGAUGAGAGCUUAUGUGAUUAGAUAUUUGGAUCUGCUCAAUGACCUCGCUGUUCUAAUAUUGCAAUAUUACAACCUAGACGAAGAAGAAGGACAGGGUGACGGACCGUGGCAGGUUUAACACAAAUGAUCGUCAAGCAGAAGGUUGACCCCUCUCAGCAGAUGGAGGUUGUGUAGAAGGGUGAUGGCAAAAUGAAAGGUGUUUUUGUUCCAGCUGUACCCCAUAACUCUGCUGAACAUGUGAGAGUUGUGUUUUGAGUUGUGUGUUUUGAUGUUUGUUUGUUUAUGUAUUUUACUCUUGAG